CGAGCGGCGGACGGGUGAGUANUCUGGGAAACUGCCUGAUGGAGGGGGAUAACUACUGAAACGGUAGCUAAUACCGCAUAACGUCGCAAGACCAAAGAGGGGGGACCUUCGGGCCUCUUGGCAUCAGAUGUGCCCAGAUGGGAUAGCUAUAGUGGGGUAACGGCUCACCUAAGCACGAUCCCUACUGGUCUGAAGGAUGACCACCACACUGAACUGAACACGGUCCAACUCCUACGGGAGGCACAUGGGGAAUAUUGCACAAUGGGCGCAAGCCUGAUGCAGCCAUGCCGCGUGUAUGAAGAAGGCCUUCGGGUUGUAAAGUACUUUCAGCGGGGAGGAAGGUGUUGUGGUUAAUAACCACAGCAAUUGACGUUACCCGCAGAAGAAGCACCGGCUAACUCCCCGGGGGUUUUGGGGCCCCCCAAAGCCAAAGGCCCCGGCGGGGUAAUAAAAACCCCGGAGGGUGCCAAAGCGUUAAUCGGAAUUACUGGGCGUAAAGCGCACGCAGGCGGUCUGUCAAGUCGGAUGUGAAAAAAAAAUUUUUCCCCCCCCGGGGGCUUCCAAAACCCCUGGGGGAAACUUUGGCAUUUUCGAAAAACU
rnacentral:rRNA from 1 species